rnacentral:rRNA from 1 species
GCAAGAUUAAAACUCAAAGGAAUAGACGGGGACCCGCACAAGUGGUGGAGCAUGUGGUUUAAUUCGAAGAUACGCGAAGAACCUUACCUAGCCUUGACAUAUUUUAGAACUCCGCAGAGAUGCAGAGGUGCCUUCGGGAGCUAAUUUACAGGUGCUGCACGGCUGUCGUCAGCUCGUGUCAUGAGAUGUUGGGUUAAGUCCCGCAACGAGCGCAACCCUCGUCACUAGUUACUAACGGUUCGGCCGAGGACUCUAGUGAGACUGCCUUCGUAAGGAGGAGGAAGGUGAGGACGACGUCAAGUCAUCAUGGCCCUUACGGCUAGGGCAACACACGUGCUACAAUGGCCAGGACAGUGAGACGCGAUACCGCGAGGUGGAGCAAAUCUAUAAACCUGGUCUCAGUUCGGAUUGUUCUCUGCAACUCGAGAACAUGAAGCUGGAAUCACUAGUAAUCGUAGAUCAGCUAUGCUACGGUGAAUACGUUCCCGGGUCUUGUACUCACCGCCCGUCACACCAUGGGAGUUGAUUUCACCCGAAGCGGGGAAGCUAAACUGGCUACCCUCCACGGUGGAAUUAGCGACUGGGGUGAAGUCGUAACAAGGUA